UAGAUAGAUAGAAAACAAAAAAGAAAGAACAAGUGCUCGAGGUUCUUGCUCCGCUCUCACACUUUCUUUCUGCCUGCUCAUCCCAACCCGUCCACCGUAACUCACGAAUCCGCGGCCGCCCCCUCCGCAAUCCCGACCUCCACCCGCCUUGCCCGAACUCGACGCUCUCUUCUCCUGAACGCGGUGCCUAGCCCCCGGGGGCGCGGCCACCGGGGGCCCAUCUACUGCGGCUGGGCUGAUGGGGUGGAGUGUAAUGGAGGUCCGGCCGGAGUGGGAUCUAGGCAAGAUGAGGGAGCUGCGCUUCGUUGUGUUGGUUCUGGUGAUAUCCUUGCCGUGCUUCUCUGCAUCCGAUCGCCAAGGAGAUGCUUUAUAUGAUAUGAAACAAAAACUGAACGUUACUGGCGGUCAGCUUUCAGAUUGGAACCAAAAUCAAGUUAACCCUUGCACAUGGAAUUCUGUUAUUUGUGACAACAACAACAAUGUUGUUCAAGUAACUUUGGCUGCACGAGGAUUCACGGGUGUUCUGUCACCAAGAAUUGGAGAACUCCAAUAUUUGAGUGUCCUGUCAUUGGCUGGUAACAGGAUUACCGGUACUGUACCAGAGGAGUUUGGUAAUCUAUCUAGCUUGACAAGCUUAGAUUUAGAGGACAAUCUUUUAGUUGGAGAAGUACCAGCUUCUCUUGGCAACCUUUCUAAGCUAACGCUGUUGAUACUGAGUAAAAAUAAUUUCAAUGGGUCAAUUCCUGAUAGCAUAGCGAACAUUUCAAGCUUGACAGACAUCCGCCUGGCAUAUAAUAAUUUGUCCGGUCAGAUACCUGGUUCGCUGUUUCAAGUAGCACGUUACAACUUUUCUGGUAAUCACUUAAACUGUGGACCCAACUUCCCGCAUUCUUGUGCAUCCAGCAUGUCCUAUCAGAGUGGAUCCCAUAGCUCAAAAAUUGGCUUAAUACUUGGAACAGUUGGUGGAAUUUUAGGGCUUCUUAUCGUGGGAGCUCUGUUUCUAAUCUGUAAUGCAAGGAGGAAAAGCCACCUGCGGGAAGUUUUUGUGGAUGUAGCAGGCGAGGACGAUCGACGAAUUGCGUUUGGCCAGAUCAAAAGAUUUGCAUGGCGAGAACUGCAGAUUGCGACUGAUAAUUUCAAUGAAAGAAAUGUUCUUGGACAGGGAGGUUUUGGUAAAGUAUACAAGGGAGUUCUUCCUGAUGCAACUAAGAUCGCUGUAAAACGAUUGACUGACUAUGACAGUCCUGGUGGGGAGGCUGCCUUCUUGCGGGAGGUUGAGCUUAUUAGUGUUGCAGUUCAUCGCAAUCUCUUAAGAUUAAUUGGCUUCUGCACGACACAAACAGAGCGCUUGCUGGUCUAUCCAUUUAUGCAGAAUUUGAGUGUUGCCUGCCGCUUAAGAGAUUUUAAGCCUGGAGAACCCAUCCUAGACUGGCCUUCAAGGAAACGGGUGGCUAUAGGUACAGCUCGUGGACUGGAGUAUCUGCAUGAACACUGCAACCCCAAGAUCAUACACCGUGAUGUUAAAGCUGCAAAUGUAUUACUUGACGAGGAUUUCGAGCCUGUUGUUGGUGAUUUUGGCCUAGCAAAGCUCGUAGAUGUGCAGAAGACAUCUGUGACAACACAAGUCCGUGGAACCAUGGGUCACAUAGCACCUGAGUACCUGUCCACAGGGAAGUCGUCCGAGAGGACUGAUGUUUUUGGCUAUGGGAUCAUGCUUCUUGAACUUGUGACGGGUCAGCGGGCUAUUGACUUCUCACGGUUGGAAGAGGAAGAAGAUGUGCUAUUGCUUGAUCAUGUAAAGAAGCUACAGAGAGAAGGGGAGCUAGACUCCAUUGUGGACAAGAACCUUAAUCAGAAUUAUGAUAGUGAGGAUCUUGAGAUGAUAAUACAGAUAGCACUGCUCUGCACGCAGGCAUCACCUGAGGACCGACCAUCAAUGUCUGAAGUGGUUAGGAUGCUGGAAGGUGAGGGUUUGGCGGAGCGGUGGGAGGAGUGGCAGCAUGUGGAGGUGACAAGGAGGCAGGAGUAUGAGCGGAUGCAGCGGAGGUUCGACUGGGGAGAGGAUUCUGUCUACAAUCAGGAAGCGAUGGAGUUGUCUGCAGGUAGAUGACAAUCAGUGGAAACGGAUGGGUGUAAAUGCAAUGAUGCGGUGCCUGCUGUGCUGUAUGUAACUGUUAUUUGUAGAGUAGCCUAUUAGAUACUUGUUGAGCAAUUGCAUGAACGUGGAUGGAAUUAUAUGGAUAAAUGGCAGUACAUAGAUUGAGGUAACUGUACUUAAUUUGAUUAUUUGUAGUGUAGCUAUUAGAUAGAUAUGUUCAUAAGAUUAUUCAAACGAACUUGUUGAACAAUAGCAUGAACGUGAAUGGAAUUAGAUGGAUAAAUGGCAGUACA